rnacentral:lncRNA from 1 species
AGUAGAGACGGGGUUUCACCAUGUUGCCCAGGUUGGUCUUGAACUCCUGACCUCAGGUGAUGCACCCACCUCGACCUCCCAAAGUGCUGGGACUACAGGCAUGAGCUACCAUGCCCAGCCCAGAAACCUUUUUCUUUUAUUAGCAAAUAAACCAAGUCCAAGCAAGAGCAAGUAAGCAGCUCUCCUAACAGGAUCAUAGGGAUAUUUGGAUUCUCACUUACCUCAUCUGUACAAUUAUGACCAAGGAUAAAAUUGCCAUCAGGGAGCAAAUGGAAAGAACACCAAUUGUUUUUAAUUCCUAUGCAAAUCUACUAGGUCUCCUAUUUUCCCUUUAAACAGGCUUCGGAAUACUAAUUCUCAUCACCUCACCAGUGUUUUAAGAAACAUGCUAUCAUUUCAGGAAUUAAUUCGCUUCUCAGUAGUUUUUGCUGGAGAGCACAAUAUUAGGUAGAGAAUGACAGACAUGAGCUACACCAGCUGACUAAUCCGGGCAAAAUAAGUUUCCAGGUGCAGAUAGCACAAAGACUGAGUCGUAAGAUAUCUGUAAGGGGACUGCCACACAAAGAGGGCUUCUAUUAGGCCACUGCCCUACUCAAAACAUUCAUGAUGUCCCACCACACACAGGACAGAUUCCAAGCCUCUUGGAUAAGACUGAAGCCCUCCAUCACAGCCCAUCAAUCCGUUUCCUGGAGUUCGGAACCACAGCCAUGUGCCUCAUCAGUGUAAGACUGAGUCUCAGCUCUCACUUCAAGGAGGACUCAAGACAAGCAAAAGAAGUAAACUUUUGCUGGGUGCAGUGGCUCACGCCUGUAAUCCCGGCACUUUGGGAGGCCAAGGUGGUGGAUUACUUGAGGUCAGAAGUUUGAGACCAGCCUGGGCAACAGAAUGAAACCCCAUCUCUACUAAAAAUACAAAA